UUAUUUAAAGCAUUAUUUGAAUGAAAAGAAACCUAUUUCAACCAAUUGGUAUUAAAAUAUAUCAAAUUUAUAAAUUUUGCUAAAUUGCUCAAAAAUGAGGAAAAUUUUACAUUUUAUCAAACAGGGUAAGGAACUUGGUUUCUCGAAUAACUUCUGGCACAGACAUCUGAGGGCAAGGCCGUCCAAGAAGAAAAUGUAGCCAUUGGUGUCAUCUAUCGACCACAGGUUAAAGAUUGGCGAUCCGUUGGAUACCGACCGAGUUAUAGCCAAAACUUGGUGCAAAAAUGAGGAAAAUUUUACAUUUUAUCAAACAGGGUAAGGAACUUGGUUAGUCGCAUAAUUUCUGGCACAGACAUCUGAGGGCAUGGCCGUCCAAGAAGAAAAUGUAGCCAUUGGUGCCAUCUAUCGACCACAGGUUAAAGAUUGGCGAUCCGUUGGAUACCGACCGACUUAUAGGCAAAACUUGGUGCAAAAAUGAGGAAAAUUUUACAUUUUCUCAAACAGGGUAAGGAACUUGGUUUCUCGAAUAACUUCUGGCACAGACAUCUGAGGGCAUGGUCGUCCAAGAAGAAAAUGUAGCCAUUGGUGCCAUCUAUCGACCACAGGUUAAAGAUUGGCGAUCCGUUGGAUACCGACCGAUUUAUAGGCAAAACUUGGUGCAAAAUUGAGGAAAAUUUUAGAUUUUCUCAAACAGGGUAAGGAACUUGGUUUCUCGAAUAACUUCUGGCACAUACAUCUGAGGGCAUGGUCGUCCAAGAAGAAAAUGUAGCCAUUGGUGCCAUCUAUCGACCACAGGUUAAAGAUUGGCGAUCCGUUGGAUACCGACCGAGUUAUAGGCAAAAUUUGGUGCAAAAAUGAGC